UUCCCAAGUGGGAUAUCUAUUUAUUCUGUGGAAAAAAAAAAGUCUGCUGAAGAAUAUAUUUGUUUAUUUACUAUUUUCUAAACUUUGUUGAAAAUAAAAAUUCGUAAUGUUAUGUGGUGAUCAAGAAAUAUUUUUCAAGUUGAUUUAAAUUGUGGUUUUGAUUCAUAAUUUUUCCGUAACCACUACUAUUAUAUUUCUUAUGAUGAACAGAGGUCGAGUAGUGAGUUAAUAUAAUAUGAUUGCGGUGGUUUUAAUACAACUAUUGUUGUUUGUAAGUGGGAGCAAAUAUGGUUUUAUUAUGUGGUCUGAUAAGGCCGUUGUAUCAGUGACCAACGAUCAUAAAUUGAUUCCACCACUGCACGUCGCCAGGGCCACUUACACCAAUGACGUUAACUCAACGGGAUGGGCCUUCUUGGAAUUACAUACAUCACCAGAUGCCAGUGAUGAGAAGCAAGCAUAUGCAGCGGGAUUCCUGGAAGGAUUUCUCACCAGAGACCUUAUUUGGAUGCACUGGCAAAAUAUGUUAAAAGGAUAUUGUUACAACAGAAUAGAUGUGUGUGGUCUGAUAGAAGAAUAUGUGGACAUAAAUGAGCACUACAUCGCUGACAUGAUUCAUACUCACCCUAAUGAUCCAUACUGGUACCAUGUAAAGCUAUACAAGAUACAACUGGAAGGUUUGGCUGCUGGUUACAAUCAGGCAACUUCUGAUUCUUAUCAAUGGCUGACUACACGUGAUAUACUAUGGAUUAAUAUGUUAGGUGACCUUGAUGACCUGGCAUUUGCGCUUACAAUACCAAAGAACACUCCCGAGAGUCUGCUUUUUGGGGAACAUUGUAGUGGGCUGGUCAAGCUAUUACCGGAUAAUGCAGAACUUUUUACAUCUCAUGUAACCUGGAACAGCUACCAAUCAAUGCUGCGAUUUCAAAAGAUGUACGUGCUUAGUUACCGAACAUCCCCAAACAAUGCGAAACCGAUUCCCGGGAGGAAGAUGGCCUUCACUUCUUACCCUGCUUUUGUUCAGUCAACAGAUGACUGGUACAUAACGUCUGCGGGUCUGGUGGCCGCAGAAACGACCAUCGGGAACAGCAACAGGACGCUUUACGAGUACGUGCAGCCCACGGGACAGAUAAUGGAAUUCGUGCGAGCAAUGGUGGCGACCAGAUUGGCCACGAGUGGAGCUCACUGGGUCGACUUGUUCCGCAGGCACAACAGUGGGACUUACAACAACCAAUGGUACAUCGUCGACUAUAAAAAAUUUAAGCGAAAAACGCAGAAAUCCGAAGGGCAAGUUGAAGCUGGAUUGUUGUGGGUGGUGGAACAACUGCCCGGCUUCACUGAGGCAGCUGACCUAACGGAAGAACUAAAGGCCACGUCGUACUUCCCGUCGUACAACAUCGCCUACUUCCCUCGGAUGUUCAACCUCAGCGGCGGUAACGAGCGAAUCGCCACCUUCGGCGACUGGUUCGCCUACGAGACGAACCCGCGAGCUAAGAUCUUUCGUGAACAGCAGGGGUCGAUCGACUCGAUGGGCAGUAUGUUCCGCGUGAUGCGAUACAACGAUUACCGCCACGACCCCCUGUCGCGGUGCGCGUGCAGCCCGCCCUACAGCGCCUGCAACGCCAUUUCCGCCCGGAACGACCUCAAUCCUGCUAAUGGUUCAUUUCCGUUCCGGGCGCUCGGUCACAGAAGCCACGGCGGCACCGACGCCAAGGUGACGAGCUCGGAGCUGGCCGAGAAGUACCUGUUCCUCGGCGUCUCGGGGCCCACUUACAACAUUUCCCGGGGCAUACCGCCUUUUCAAUGGAGUAAAUUUGACAUGGGCUCAGAGGUGUUUCACGAAGGCCACCCUGAUGUUUGGACCUUCUCACCUCUUAUUCAUCAUUGGGAAUGGGGCUGAAUAUUUCAGCUGGUCGGUUAGUUAGCAAGGCAGUCUAAAUAAGACAGGGUAUAGUUAUAUUUCUUUCAGUGUCUUAUAGGCAUAAUAAAAAAUAUAUAAUAUAACAUUCUGUAUAAAUGAAACUGAAUGGUAUAUAUAUAGACAAUAAAUGUCUAACUCCCUUGAGACCUUUCUUCACUUUUAGGUGCUUAACUAUUUAGAAGUUAAAAGUGUAUAAUUUAAUUAGUGGAACUGUUUCCUAUUACAAAUAUCUGAUGUGAGUUCUGGAUUAAUAAUUAAUCAAUUGGAUAAAUUUUUCAAAGUUCACUUUAGUUGAAGAUUUAGUAUUACUUGAAAAAGGCACAGAAUUCUCUAAACUCAAUUUAAUCCAGGUAAAAUCAGGUAACAAAAAGUACUGAAAAUAAAAGACUAUUUGAUAAGUUCAUAUUAUUAAUUAGAUUACAGGGUAUAAGUUUUAUAAAUAUAUGAUUUACCAUA